AUGGGAGCACCCAGGUUUUGGAUGCCCAAGCAGAUAACAAACCYACACGAUCCCCCCCCCCCCGCUCUGCUAGUCUCCAAACAGCCGCAUCGGUUUGCAAGCAGGACCCCAGACACGCUUGUGCUUUCGGCAAGAAAACCCCAGGCACAGUGGUUUGGGGUGCAGGAGCUGAGUCCUGCUGCAGAGGGGCUCGGGCAGGCAGAAAUGGGGGUGUUGGAAACCCCAGGGAGGUGCAAAGCACUGCCACUUGCACCCAACCCAAACCCCCUGCUCAGCCCCUGGCACCCAAGACACCCCAGGACACCUGGGUCCUGGCCCUCGCCCCAAAUCUGGGCUGGGAAUGGCUCUGCCAGGCAAGGGAUGGAGACACCCCAAAGGGAGCAGGACCCCCCCCAAUCCCAAAGAGCCCGGGCUGCCGGGGCCCCUCCUGCCCGUGGGCCGCACGCGGAGCCCCAGCAUGUCUGCGCCGGUGAGUCACGGGCUCCUCCCAGCCCAUCACCCAUGCAACGAGCUGAGUCAGGCAUCAGCCUGCCCUGGCACCGCUGGGGCCCYGCACCGUGGCACAGCCGGCUCCGGGGGCACACGGCUGCCCUGAUUCACCGCCCCGAGCCCCUGGGGGUGGUUUUUAGGGUCAAAUCCUGCCAAACAGGGACUGGAGCCCAAGGGAGCCUGAAGCCCAAGCUGCAUCCCCACAUCCGAGCCUCAGUUUCCCCAGCUGGGARGCGGAAACCACCACUUGCUCCAGGCUCAGCCCAGGGUGAUGCAGCUUUUCGGAGGUGGAUGAUUUCGAGCCGCUGGGGAUGCCGGGACCAAGCCCUCCAUCCUGGCGAGACACCCAGCACCCYGGUUUGCUUAAAAUACAGCCAGAAAACAACCAAUGCAUCCCAAACACAGGGCUCUUUGCUCCUGUUCGGGUUCUCCAGUGUCCCUUUUCCCAGCAAGGAGCAAAACCAGAAAAGCUUUAGCACAGCGAGCCGGGAUGCAGGGAGCAGGGCCAGCGUCGGAGCCGGGGCUCGGACCAGGGGCAGCACUUUUAUUUGCCACCAGCCUGGCAAGAAAGGGAAGAGGUGGGAACGGCGGGUCCCAGCGCAGCAGCAAAGGGGGUUUCGGCAGGAAGUAAGUGGGAAGUGCCGUGAUGCCGGGGCCACCAGCUCCCCCCCGGCACGGGGUAACACUGAAACCUCUUAUCGCGGCAGGCCCCGGGCGGCACCGCACCCUGCCCACACCAAAGCGCUGCCUCCUUCCCAACACCAUCCGUGCCCGCCCCGACAGGCUCCUGCCACUCUGCAGGAGGCAGAGGAGGCUUUUUGGGGUGUCCCCCCCUGGAAAGGGGGUUAUUUGGGGCACGAGUGUCAGGACCAAGCUGGGGUUGUGCUUUUGGAGGGGUYGGGGGUUUUGCACCAACUCUCCAACCCCUGCAGCUUGCAAACCACCUCCCCAAGCCCUCGGAGCAAGCCCGGCAGCAACGCCAGGGCUCAGCCUCCAGCCCCUGCCUCAGUUUCCCCACUGUGGUGCAGGAAGGCACCAAUUUGUGUCCGUUGCUGA
rnacentral:lncRNA from 1 species